rnacentral:misc_RNA from 1 species
GAUUGACUGGUUGUGAUGUCGAUGCUGUGUGUCUCGAUGCAUGCCUGCUUGCUUGAGUGGGCCGGUGAGUGUUUGCUGAGCGAGCCACGGAUCAAAAGUAACGGCCGAAUAGAAUAAUAUAGAUGAGUCCCGACUUUCUGGUACCGACGUCGACUAGCCGUCUUCAAGAACAUUUCGCACCAGAACAAAACUGUAGCGAAGCGCCGCGAACCGUUGCAUCAACGUUUGAUCAAGAUGCGAGAAGAAGAGAC